UACCAGCUCUCCGAGUGGUAGGGAUGAUUAUUGGGCUUAAAGCGUCCGUAGCCGGCUUAGCAAGUCUCCUGUUAAAUUCAGCGACCUAAUCGUUGAGCCGCGGGAGAUACUAUUAGGCUAGGAGGCGGGAGAGGUCAACGGUACUUCUGGGGUAGGGGUGAAAUCCUAUAAUCCCAGGAGGACCACCAGUGGCGAAGGCUGUUGACUAGAACGCGCUCGACGGUGAGGGACGAAAGCUGGGGGAGCGAACCGGAUUAGAUACCCGGGUAGUCCCAGCUGUAAACGAUGCGGGCUAGGUGUUGGGGUGGCUACGUGCCACUUCAGUGCCGCAGGGAAGCCAUUAAGCUCGCCGCCUGGGGAGUACGGCCGCAAGGCUGAAACUUAAAGGAAUUGGCGGGGAGCACCACAAGGCGUGAAGCUUGCGGUUC
rnacentral:rRNA from 1 species